GUGUUAGUGUUGCAGGACAGUGCCACCAUGCCCCGCCUGGAUGUCCUUUCGUUCUCAAUCUAGUGCUCCAUUAUUGUCAACUGAGUCACUGUGGCUGAUGGAGAUCUGAAUUACAGAAUCGGAUGACUCUGCACCCCCUGAAGAAAGGAGAGAGACACCCUUCCCCAGGGUCUACCUGGGUAAUUGAUGGAGCAACGAAAGAUCCAAAAAGCCUGAAAAAGUCUCACAUUCUCUCAUCUGAGGCUCCCAGCUCCCAAUCUUCAGAUUUCCCUCAGGUAGGAGCUGCAUAGUAUUGGGAUACAAACAGAUAUGUUGACUAAUGGAAUCCAACUGAAGAACCAGACAUAAAUCUGCACACAUGUGGACACAAAAAGCCAGAAAGACACAAUGGAAAGAAGAAAGCAUCACCAACAAAUGGUGCUGGUCUGACUGGAUGUCAGCAUGUAGAAGAAUACAAAUAAAUCCAUACUUGUCACCCUGCACAAAACUCAAAAGUUCAAGUGGAUCAAAGACCUCAACAUAAAUCCAGAUACACUGUACCUGAUAGAAGAGAAAGCAGGCAAUAGCUUUGAACGCAUUAGCACAGAGAUGACUUUCUGAACCAAAUACCAGUAGUGCAGACACUAAAAUCAAUAAUCAAUAAAUGGGACCUCAUGAAACUGAAAAGUUUCUUGAAGGCAAAGAACACCAUCAUUAGGACAAAAUGGCAGCCUACAAAAUGGAAAAAAUAGAUAUUUACCAACUCCACAUCCAAUAGAGGACUGAUAUCCAAAAUAUAUAAAGAAUGAAAGAUGCUAGAUAUCAAAAAAUAAAAUAAUCUAAUUUAAAAAUUGGGUACAGAAGCUGGGUAGUGGUAGCCUUUAAUCCUAGAACUUGGGAAGCAGAGAUAGGUGGAUCUCAGUGAGUCUGAAGCCAGCCUAAUCAAGUUCCAGGACAGCCACGGCUACACAGAGAAAACCCUGUCUAUAUAGAUCUAAACAGAGAAUUCACAACAGAGGAAUCUCAAAUGGCUAAAAAUCAAAGAAAUGUUCAACAAAUUAAAUACAAAUUAAAACUUAACACCUGUCAGAAUGACUAAGAUCAAUAGCACGAGUGACAGCUCAUGCUGUGAGGAUGUGGAGCAAGAGGAACACUCCUCCACUGCUGGUGGGAGUGCAGACUUGUACAGCCACAAUGGAAAUCAAUAUGGUGGUUCUUCAGAAAAUUGGGAAUGAUCUACCAUCAAGACCCAGCUAUAGACCUGAACAAGGGGGAGCUCAUGGACCCCAGACUGAUAGCUGGGAAACCAGCAUAGGACUGUUCCAGACCCCCUGAACAUGAAGGACAUGAAAUUUGAAGACAGAUGAAUGGAACUAGAAAUGCCCAGCCUGAGUGAACUAACCCAGACCCAUAAAGACAAAUAUGAGUCCCAUGUAUCCCUAAGGGUCUGGCCUCAAGCUUGCUAUAUGGCUAAGAAUGACUUCUGCUUGUCCCACCUCCAUCUCCUAAAUUCUGAGAUUACAGGCCUGGGAAAAGUUCACAGUGAUCUACUUAGGUUAUCUGAUGAACCCAAACAUGGAUUAUAAAGAAACCAAUCUGGGCAGCAGCUCCUGGAGAAG
rnacentral:lncRNA from 1 species